rnacentral:rRNA from 1 species
AUUAACGCUGGCGGCGUGCCUAACACAUGCAAGUCGAGCGGCAGCGAGUUUUACACUGAAUUCUGGAAGCUUCUAGUUGAAAGAGAAGAUUUAUUCAAGAAUUUUGUGUAAAAUGUCGGCGAGCGGCGGACGGCUGAGUAACGCGUGGGAACGUACCCCAAAGUGAGGGAUAACGCAUCGAAAGGUGUGCUAAUACCGCAUAUGGUCUUCGGAUUAAAGCCUUCGGGCGCUUUGGGAACGGCCUGCGUAAGAUUAGAUAGUUGGUGGGGUAAUGGCCUACCAAGUCGACGAUCUUUAACUGGUUUGAGAGGAUGAUCAGUCAGACUGGAACUGAGACACGGUCCAGACUCCUACGGGAGGCAGCAGUGAGGAAUCUUCCACAAUGGGCGAAAGCCUGAUGGAGCAACGCCGCGUGCAGGAUGAAGGCCUUCGGGUUGUAAACUGCUUUUAUAAGUGAGGAUUAUGACAGUAACUUAUGAAUAAGGAUCGGCUAACUACGUG